rnacentral:sRNA from 1 species
GCUGGGCGUGGUGGCUCACGCCUGUAAUCCCAGUAGCUCAGGAGGGUGAGAUUGGAGGAUCCUGAGAUCAAAGCCAGCUUCAGCACAAGCAAAGUGCUAAGCAACUCAGUGAGACCCUGUCUCUA